rnacentral:lncRNA from 1 species
GUGUCAGAACUCCGCUCUCGCAUCGCGCCGUGUAAUGUACCGAAUUUUUAAUAUAUAAAAGUAAGUGUAAAUAAAAAUAAUAUAAGAUACUAUUUUUUUGGACUUAAAGAAGUAAAAUAUAAAUCGGAAACGACUUUUGCUGAAAUUGGAACGGAAACAGAAGAUUUAGAAUUUUCUGUAAGAAACGGGGCUGAUCUUUUAGCAGAAAAUUCACAGUGUCGGAAAAUUAUGAAAAUUAUUUUCCUGAGGCUAGAUUGCUAUAUGCUUGAGAUUUUAGUCGGUAAAGCUUUCGGUGACAAAAAAUGGUCGAAACUAAGAAGUUAAGAUAUCGUUCUUCUUGUUAAAUUAAACCAAGCCUAACUGUCAAAUUUGACUGUCAAAUUUGCGAAAAGGAACAGAUUCUGAGCUGCUAAACUGAAGUUUAGUGUAUGUUGAAGGGUGUUGACUUAUAAAAAUGGGCUUUUUAGUUUAGUGUAUGUUGAAGGGUGUUGACUUAUAAAAAUGGGCUUUUUAGUUUAGUGUAUGUUGAAGGGUGUUGACUUAUAAAAAUGGGCUUUUCCCAAUUUCCUUCUUCCUCCUUCCUCCUCAACCGAACACAGCACACACACACACACACACACACGCAUGGUGAGGGAGAGAGAACCCUCCCUUUCUCUCUCUACAUAUCUCCCUAC